AAACCGUUCCCGAGGAUCUAUUGGAGGGCAAGUCUGGUGCCAGCAGCCGCGGUAAUUCCAGCUCCAAUAGCGUAUAUUAAAGUUGUUGUGGUUAAAAAGCUCGUAGUUGGAUUUCGGCGGGUAGUGGUCGGUUUGAAUUGCUUCAACACUGGCUUUUUUACCCGUGUGUUUUGCCAGAAUUUAACGGGUGAUCUUCGCCGAUUGUCCGUUAGAACUGGCAGGUUUACUUUGAAAAAAUUAGAGUGCUCAAAGCGAGCUUGAUUGCUUGAAUAUUCGUGCAUGGAAUAAUAGAAUAGGAAGUCGUUUCUAUUUUGUUGGUUUUCGGAAAUCGACUUAAUGAUUAAUAGGGAUAGUCGGGGGCAUUUGUAUUCAAACGACAGAGGUGAAAUUCUUGGACCGUUUGAAGACAAACUACUGCGAAAGCAUUUGCCAAGAAUGUUUUCAUUAAUCAAGAACGAAAGUUAGAGGUUCGAAGGCGAUUAGAUACCGCCCUAGUUCUAACCAUAAACGAUGCCAGCUAGCGAUCUGCCGGUGCUUGAUUUUCUGGCCCGGCAGGCAGCUUCCGGGAAACCAAAGCUUGUGGGUUCCAGGGGAAGUAUGGUUGCAAAGCUGAAACUUAAAGGAAUUGACGGAAGGGCACCACCAGGAGUGGAGCCUGUGGCUUAAUUUGACCCAACACGGGAAAUCUCACCAGGCCCGGACACCAGAAGGAUUGACAGAUUGAUAGCUCUUUCUUGAUUUGGUGGGUGGUGGUGCAUGGCCGUUCUUAGUUGGUGGAGUGAUUUGUCUGGUUAAUUCCGAUAACGAACGAGACUCUGUCCUGUUAAAUAGAUCCAACCUAGUUGUAGGGUUGGAAUGUCUUCUUAGAGGGACUGGUGAUUAUUAGUCACACGAGAUUGAGCAAUAACAGGUCUGUGAUGCCCUUAGAUGUUCUGGGCCGCACACGCGCUACACUGAAGUGAUCAGCUAGUUUUUCCCUCUCCGAGAGGAGCGGGUAAACUGUUGAACCCACUUCGUGGUAGGGAUCGGAGCUUGCAAUUAUUCUCCGUGAACCAGGAAUUCCCAGUAGGUGCAAGUCAUAUGCUUGCAUCGAUUACGUCCCUGCCCUUUGUACACACCGCCCGUCGCUACUACCGAUUGAGUGUUUUAGUGAGGACCUCGGAUUGCUUGCCUGGCGGUUAACGCUGCCUAGCUGGCGAAAAGACGUCCAAACUGUAGCACUUAGAGGAAGUAAAAGUC
rnacentral:rRNA from 1 species